rnacentral:lncRNA from 1 species
UGACUGACAAUAUUGUCCAUUACAGCACACAUUUAUUUUAACGACUGCUCUGUUCUGUAUGUUUUACAGGAGCUGUAGUGAUGUCGUUACCAAAGGUGCUAGCAGUACUACUGUAUGUUGGUAAACUUCCUCUGACUGUCCUGUUCACCAGCAACCCUAACACUACACUACAAAGUACACAGAAACACAAGUCCAACAUCACCCUGCACUGCGAGGACAUCUGUUCCUCAGAUCAAUGCUUGUUUCAAGCACCACCUGAAGUCCUCACACAUCUGUAUGACAGCAACUGUGAGCAGGCCUGGUCCUUCCAGGAUGGAUAUCUCCUGGCUGAUGGAAGCUCUACAGCACAAAACAGAACCCUGCACCCAUUAGUCUUUGCUGUGACACCCACCAGUGUGACCACCAGAUACUGUAUCAGUGGGCUUCAGUAUGUGAUGACCUGUCACGACUCUGAGUACCAGUGGAUGACCCUGUAUACAGGUAUGGACCACUUCUGACUGCUGAAUGGGUGGGGCUAAACUGCUAUAGGCUGAAUGGGUGGAGCUAAACUACUGUAGGCUGAACGGGUGGGGCUAAACUGCUGUAGGCUGAAUAGGUGGGGCUAAACUGCUGUAGUCUUAAUGGGCAGGGCUAAACUACUGUAGGCUGAAUGAGUGGAUGUAAACUGCUGUAGGCUGAAUGGGUGGAGCUAAACUACUGUAGGCUGAAUGGGUGGGGCUCAACUGCUGUAGGCUGAAUAGGUGGGGCUAAACUGCUGUAGUCUUAAUGGGCAGGGCUAAACUACUGUAGGCUGAAUGGGUGGGGCUCAACUGCUGUAGGCUGAAUAGGUGGGGCUAAACUGCUGUAGUCUUAAUGGGCAGGG